GAGAGGGGCACGAUUGCACCGAAUUCUGCUAAAUUUCGCAACCUUGCGUUAAACCCCGGGGCCA
rnacentral:tRNA from 1 species